rnacentral:rRNA from 1 species
GCAAGUCGAACGAUCCUUCGGGAUAGUGGCAGACGGGUGAGUAACGCGUGGGAACCUACCUAAUAGUACGGAAUAGCCUCGGGAAACUGGGAAUAAUACCGUAUACGCCCUUCGGGGGAAAGAUUUAUCGCUAUUAGAUGGGCCCGCGUUAGAUUAGAUAGUUGGUGGGGUAACGGCCUGCCAAGUCUACGAUCUAUAGCUGGUUUUAGAGGAUGAUC